GAGAAUCAAUCACUGCUGUGAGGUCGGUCUGGGUCUGCAGUCAGAGCCUGUUGCAGCCACAGUCUAGCUAGGUGACAGCCUGCACUCACAGUCUGCACAUAACACCUGCAGUCAGAGUUUAGCAGGAAAUAACCAGCAGUCGGAGGCUGCAAGGGAGACCUCAAGCAGGAGCUUUCUGCAGUCAGAGUCAGUGAAUGGUUGGAGUCAUGCUGUCUGAGCUGUAAGGAGGAAUAAACCAGGACCCUUUUCAUGCUGUGAUAAACAGGAAGUCUGUGUCUCAGCUCAUUUCUGUCCUCUAACAAGAGGGCUGCUGCAAUAUUGGGGAGUCCUUCCACAAAAGAGAGAGGCUAUCAGAACUAUGCUGGCCACAAAAGCAGGAUGAGACAGUGGCCUUGAGGAUCUGAUCUGAGCUGCUGGUUGGGGCCACAAGAUGCACGUGGCUGGGUGAGGAUCUCAUCCGUCAGCUGCCUCCACACACUUCCUUGAUUUGGCAACAGGCUAAUAAACAGCUGCACCCGGAGGGGAAGGGGUUUUCCUGUGUUUCUUUGUAUGCCACAGACUGUAUGGGGGUUUCCAUGGCAUGAGCAAUAAUUUUGCAGCCACAGAGAGAUUUAAAAUAAUCAUUGGGUCCUUCUGGAUGUAGCAAUAGAAAGCUGUGUCUGUUGAGAGAAGAAAACAUCAACAGUGCUGAGGCUGAGUAGAAGUUAUACCUUAUACCCUGCCUGCAAAACAACAACUCUGAAACUUCACAGAGAAACAAGCUGACAACCAAGAGGUUGCUUUUCCUGCUUUGCUACUGGGAAUAACAACUACAGCUGACUGGAAUCUUCCUUUGUCUACAGGCUGAAAGUGUGGUGUGGUGAUAACCUCUACUUCUGUGCAGUCUGCGUCAGGAUGAUGAAACCAGAUAUUGAACUGCCUGGAUCUGCUGUUAGUAGGACUGAUACAAUACAGAGUCUAUUUCAAAUGCCUCAGACCUGCUGAUUGCAGCACAGCCUGGACAGCAGAUAUUUUUUCUGCAUGUUGCUUGUGUGCAAGGUUUGUAUUUGAAGUGCAAAGAGCAGACAGUAGCUUACACAGGUACGAAGAGCAGAAGUUUGCCCCUGAUUCUCUGCUGUGGGUCUCUUGACUGAACUCUCGUGGCACAGCAAGCUUGACAUGGACUGUAUCUUUUUACUCUUCACACCUGUGCAACUUCUGACAUGGGUAAAAAGUUUCCUAUUUUACAGCUUCAGAGGGUUGCCAAUAAAAAGGUUGUGAUUCAAGCCAGAAA